rfam:Brachyspira hyodysenteriae WA1, complete genome.
GGGGAUGCUCCGGCUUCGACUGCGAUGGUUGGAACAUAUUUUGCAUAGUCGUGCUAGGUGUAUGCACGUUAAUAUCAUACUAAAAAAUAAGUGCAGACGAAUACGCACUUGCAGCUUAAUUGAAGUUGCCGCUGAUUAAGUGAUUUGUCUAUGGGUUACUUUUUCGGUGCCAAAACACAUAGAACUUGUAUUAGGUGCCGUAUGAGCCUAAUAUUACGUACACUCAUGCUAGUCUUAUAGUUUUUCUGCUUGUCUUCUACCUAUAAGGCGAAACUUUUAAAGAUAAGAUAUGCUAUGUAGACGAAUAUGGUACGCUUCGUAGGACGCGGGUUCGAGUCCCGCCAUCUCCAAUU